rnacentral:rRNA from 1 species
GACGAACGCUGGCGGCGUGCUUAACACAUGCAAGUCGAACGGUGACCUCGAGAGCUUGCUCUUGGGUGAACAGUGGCGAACGGGUGAGUAACACGUGAGUAACCUGCCCCUGACUCUGGAAUAAGCGCUGGAAACGGCGUCUAAUACCGGAUAUGACACACCCUCGCAUGGGGAGUGUGUGGAAAGUUUUUCGGUCUGGGAUGGACUCGCGGCCUAUCAGCUUGUUGGUGAGGUAAUGGCUCACCAAGGCGAUGACGGGUAGCCGGCCUGAGAGGGCGACCGGCCACACUGGGACUGAGACACGGCCCAGACUCCUACGGGAGGCAGCAGUGGGGAAUAUUGCACAAUGGGCGAAAGCCUGAUGCAGCGACGCCGCGUGAGGGAUGACGGCCUUCGGGUUGUAAACCUCUUUCAGCAGGGAAGAAGCGCAAGUGACGGUACCUGCAGAAG